CCCUGCUACCCGUGAUCGGCAGGCCGAACAUCCUUCUACAUAGGCACCUGUAGCUCACACAGGGAUAGCAACCUUAGCUGCCUGCCUGUCUCCACGUCCUUCCUCCCAGCCUGCACUCCAUCGGUUUCUCUUCUUUGGUUUGUAGAAAGAGAAGAACUCGUCCAGGGUGUGCUGGCCCAAGUGGCGGAACAAUUCUCCAGAGCGUUUAAGAUCAACGAGCUGAAAGCUGAAGUUGCGAAUCACCUGGCCAUGCUGGAGAAACGGGUGGAAUGUGAGUGGAGAUUUUUUUGUUUUUCUUCCUUCCCUUUCUGCUUUUUUUUUUUUUUUUUUUUUUUUUUUUUCCGGAGCUGGGGACCGAACCCAGGGCCUUG
rnacentral:lncRNA from 1 species